CCUACGGGAGGCAGCAGUGGGGAAUUUUCCGCAAUGGGCGAAAGCCUGACGGAGCAACGCCGCGUGAGGGAUGAAGGCCUCUGGGCUGUAAACCUCUUUUAUCAAGGAAGAAGAUCUGACGGUACUUGAUGAAUAAGCCACGGCUAAUUCCGUGCCAGCAGCCGCGGUAAUACGGGAGUGGCAAGCGUUAUCCGGAAUUAUUGGGCGUAAAGCGUCCGCAGGCGGUCUUGUAAGUCUGUCGUUAAAGCGUGGAGCUCAACUCCAUUUCGGCGGUGGAAACUACAAGACUAGAGUGUGGUAGGGGCAGAGGGAAUUCCCGGUGUAGCGGUGAAAUGCGUAGAUAUCGGGAAGAACACCAGUGGCGAAGGCGCUCUGCUGGGCCAUAACUGACGCUCAUGGACGAAAGCUAGGGGAGCGAAAGGGAUUAGAUACCCCUGUAGUCCUAGCCGUAAACGAUGAACACUAGGUGUCGGGGAAUCGACCCCCGUCGGUGUCGUAGCUAACGCGUUAAGUGUUCCGCCUGGGGAGUACGGCACGCAAGUGUGAAACUCAAAUGAAUUGACGGCUGNGAGNGCGACGCGACGACGAGGGAGUAG
rnacentral:rRNA from 1 species